rnacentral:rRNA from 1 species
UAGGGAAUCUUCGGCAAUGGGGGCAACCCUGACCGAGCAACGCCGCGUGAGUGAAGAAGGUUUUCGGAUCGCAAAGCUCUGUUGUAAGAGAAGAACGUGUGUGAGAGUGGAAAGUUCACACAGUGACGGUAACUUACCAGAAAGGGACGGCUAACUACGUGCCAC